rnacentral:lncRNA from 1 species
GUACUUUCAGUGGCGAAAAUAUACCCCUCGAUGAUAGAGAAGGUUACAUAAUGCAGAAUUAUAGAUCCAUUGAAGGCCUGGCAUCACCUAGAUAUAUGGGAAUGUUUUCUCCAAAAAGGCUAUUCUCACCAAAAUCCUACUUUUCUAGAUGAAGUUAAUUACAUGUUGUGGAUGCGAAUACAUAAUUUGUAAGUUUCGUAGUAUUGUGUUUUAAGAGUGCAAUAAUUUAGGCAUAUCGAAGUUGUAUAUUAAUCAUCUAAGACUGCUUUUUAAUACUCAAUUUCAGUAUUGUUAAUUAAUGGCUUGUACAAUUCGUGCUGAAAUGCUUGAUUGGUCCACUCAAGAAAUGGAAAUUGAAAACUUUCUGGUUUUUCUUUUCUUCCUUUUUAAUUCCAAUUUUUAGUUAGUUCAUGUAAUUUUUGGAAUUCAAUGUUUUUCCAAAUUCGAGUUACAUCAAUUUCUAUGGUUCCUAGUUGAUGGUGCAUGCCAAUAGUCCAACCCACUCGAUCUCAUGUACCUAAUUAAUGGUCUCUAGCGUUAUCUGUCUAGUUGAUAGCUGAAGAGAGGCAUGCAAGUGAUGGUACCAAUCAACUCAAAUUUGAUAAUUGUAUGAAAGAGUCAAGAUUUGUUGUCACGAGGUUGCUUUCUCCAUAGGCACAUUGCACAUUGGUACAAUUUUUGACACAUCAACACAUUACAGAUUGACAUCUUUUCAUUUACUAUAAAAAGGUAAUGCAUUAAGGUGUCGAAAAUGUAUUGAUGGAACAGUCAAGGGACAAUAAUUUCAGAGUAACGUAUCUGGACUUCAUUUGUAGUAUCUUCGGUAUUUUUCUUCUCAUCACGAGAUAAAUAUAUACUUGUGCUGAUUUAUUCAAAUUUUAGUCUAAUUGUUUGCACAAAAAUUCAGUUCACUUGCUAGCAGGUUCGAUCAUAAAAAAAUAAAGCCAUGUUUGAUGUGGAUUAAAAUCUUGAUAAAAAUUUAAGUUAAGGUCAAGUUUUAAUUUUGAGCUUUAACUACAUAUUUUAUAGGACUCAAAACUUUUCAACCUCACAUUUCAACUUUAAAAUAAAUAAAUAAAUCAAAAUCUACUAAAAUUUUGAUUUUUAACUACACCUAAAUAUGGGCUAAAAUUACAAGGUGUAGGUGCUUGGAUCAGUCUAACCCAUCUCCACUCUCCCACCCAACCCUCAGCCUGAAAAUGCCUCCUAAGCUCAUGUUUGAGCCACAUUCUACAAAAGAAAUACAUUAUUCAUGUCAAAUCAAUAGAAAAUAUGUGGUUAAAAAAUAAGAAAUUUUUUUAGAUUUACGUGUAACAUUAUUUUAUUGAAAAAUGUAUGGUUGAAAUGAUGUCAAAUCACUAUUGAAAGAAAAUUAUUUUUUUUGAAAAUAAUAUGGCUCAAACAAGUCCUAAAUUUGUAACCCAACUCGCUUGCCUUGCCACAAUCCCACCCCGCCAUGUAUCCGACUGGAUCAACCUGAUCCUCUACCUUCUCUGUAUUCUCCCCGACUCUGCCUAAAGAUGGCGAUCGUAACUCUUCCUGCAUCAUGAUCGUUUACACACUCGUUCUACUCAUUCUACAAACUGAUGGUAGUUUUGAAGAUCGUAAAUGAUGUCAUCAUUGAGCGCCCAUUUACAACCAUACCUCUUUAAUCGACUAUUGGAGGUAGGGGGCGGAGCAAAGCAAGGGGGAAACAAUGGAUGUUUUCGAGCAGGGAUUGCUGAUGGUGAAAGAGUACUUGUGUGACAAAAUGAAUGGAUCUCAUAAGAACUCCCCCAAGAAAAAAUCAUGGUUUCGAAAGUUGGCAAAAUGUAGUACUUUCAGUGGCGAAAAUAUACCCCUCGAUGAUAGAGAAGGUUACAUAAUGCAGAAUUAUAGAUCCAUUGAAGGCCUGGCAUCACCUAGAUAUAUGGGAAUGUUUUCUCCAAAAAGGCUAUUCUCACCAAAAUCCUACUUUUCUAGAUGAAGUUAAUUACAUGUUGUGGAUGCGAAUACAUAAUUUGUAAGUUUCGUAGUAUUGUGUUUUAAGAGUGCAAUAAUUUAGGCAUAUCGAAGUUGUAUAUUAAUCAUCUAAGACUGCUUUUUAAUACUCAAUUUCAGUAUUGUUAAUUAAUGGCUUGUACAAUUCGUGCUGAAAUGCUUGAUUGGUCCACUCAAGAAAUGGAAAUUGAAAACUUUCU